GACGAACGCUGGCGGCGUGCUUAACACAUGCAAGUCGAGCGGUAAGGCCCUUUCGGGGUACACGAGCGGCGAACGGGUGAGUAACACGUGGGUGACCUGCCCUCAGCUCUGGGAUAAGCCUGGGAAACUGGGUCUAAUACUGGAUAUGACUCCACGGUGCAUGUCGUGGGGUGGAAAGCCUUGUGCGGCUGAGGAUGGGCCCGCGGCCUAUCAGCUUGUUGGUGGGGUGAGGCCUACCAAGGCGACGACGGGUAGCCGGCCUGAGAGGGCGACCGGCCACACUGGGACUGAGACACGGCCCAGACUCCUACGGGAGGCAGCAGUGGGGAAUCUUGCGCAAUGGGCGAAAGCCUGACGCAGCGACGCCGCGUGAGGGAUGACGGCCU
rnacentral:rRNA from 1 species